GGAACCAGUAGGGAUUUUCCCUUUAAGACCAAGGGGAGGCCAUAUGGGGUUGUUGCGAAGGUUGUUGCCUCUGCCAUAUGCUUUCCUAUUAACUCCAACCCAAACUGUCCCUCAUCCUCCUUCCUCAGCUCCUGGAUGACUUCGAGGUGGGAGCAAGCGGAGCUUUUGAUUUAGGACUUAAGUUGCUACGAGGAAAGCGGAACUCCCAUCCCCUUCCCCCUGUUCUGCUGGUGCUCCCAGAUCCCGUGGUUGUGGAUCUUCCUAUCAAAGUGAGUGACACUGGGGGACCCCUGUAUCCUGCAGGGUCCUGGGCUGUGGGGGGACCCCAAAUCCCUCUGGACUGGGAGGUGUGGAGGAGAUCAAAAAGGAUCCAAGAAGAACAGUGCUGUCCCUGUAAGGUGCAGGUGAUUGUCGUGAUACCAUAAGGACCCCAUAAGGUCACCCAAAGAACACAAAGGGUUCUGGUGCCAUACAGACCAAAUAAAGUGACCAUAAGGUCACUGCCUGCACUUUGACUUUCAGGAUGAAACACUGGUGUGAACCCUGUGCUGUCCCCACCAUGUUCCAUAAGGACUUGAUCAUCCCUGCAUAUCUCCACCAGAUCUUUGAAAGAACACAGUCUGUUUUCCCAUAAAGAAACACCAAUAAACACCGCCAGCAAAGCU